CCACAAAUAGAGCAGAUAUAGAGUCAAGUAAGGACAAUGUGGUAUGUAACACAUGUCUGAAAGGCAAACGAACAAGGCAGCCUUUCAAGAACACUGGUACAAGAGCUUCCGCCCUCUUGGAGUUGAUACAUUCAGAUGUAUGCGGACCUAUGGAGGAAAAGUCUCUCGGAGGUGCCAGAUAUUAUGUCACAUUUCUCGACGAUUAUUCUAGAAAGGUAUUUGUUUACUUUUUACACUCUAAAUCUCAAGUACUCGAAAAGUUUAAAGAAUUUAAGAAUUUUGUAGAAAAUCAAUUAAAUGCAAAAGUUAAAACACUAACAUGUGAUAAUGGCAAAGAAUAUGUUAAUGAGGCAUUUGAUAUUUUUUGUAGAAAUUCAGGUAUUAAACGUCAGUUGACAAUACCCUAUACUCCUGAACAGAACGGUAUGAGCGAGAGGAUGAAUCGAACAUUAGUAGAACGUUCUAAGUUUAUGCUUAUGAAUUCCAGCUUAUCUAAGAUGUUUUGGGUCGAGGCGGUAGUUACAGCUGCAUAUAUAAUCAACAGAAGUCCUACAAAGUCCUUACAGUUUAAAACGCCUGAAUGUUGGGAGGAAUGAAUGGGUUGGGAAGAUGCCAUGACUGGAGAUGAGGGAGUAGAUGGAAUAUUCUCUAUCUCCCUUGGAACUUCAAAGAUUUCCUGACAUGAAAGUAGAAAAAUUAGCUUAAUCAUGCAUUUUAGCCAAAAGACAAAACAUGCCACAUUAAAUGGAAUUAAACAAUACACACGUAUAGGCCUAUUUUCGUCUCUUCAGGCCCAAUGCCUGUGGAGGCCUCUUGUCCUAUAAUGGACAGCACCUUGUUUGUAAUGUCCGACACUACUGGGACAGUAAUACAGUUCCCAGUAGUGUGCCUCGCUCGAGACGAGGCUGCAUUUUCAGAACGCGAGUUCUUCUUAAUGUCCUUCCAUGUCAAAGUAACAUUGUUACUAUGAAUAGUACUAGGAUUUUAUUGAAUAGUAAUAGCAAGAGAAUUUAGGUGCUGUAGACUUCUGUGGUGUAGACGUAGACGAGGUUUAUGGAACUGUAGACUUUAGGUUUUUUCUCUGCCCGUAGCUUUUUGCGACAUUCUUCUGUCCUAUGUCCUAACAACCUACAGAAAUUGCAACACUCUUUUAUCUUCUUCUGACCUCUUGCUAUACUCGUAUCAUUAUCAUUGUUGAGUUCCUCCACUGUUCUCGCUUUGUCUACUUCGCUGUUCGCUGUCGCUUUCGCAAGAAGGAAAUUUUCAAAACAGGAGGAGGUGGACCCCAACCACCACCACCACCUCCAACUAGUGUGAUUGUGGAGGCAAUAUUGGGUCGAGUAAUGGAAGUAUUGCCUAAUAGUUAUGAUAGUGAUGCCCUGGAUUGUAAUGAUAUAAGCACAAUUGAAAUAAAUGAGGCUACAAAUAGUCAGUAGGCUACUUCUAGUGUCGAAAGCAACAUUAUAAUCAGCAUGCCAGAGCAUGAAAAGGAGAAUUACAUCCCAGAGAGGUCCAACCAUUCAAACCAAAGUGAACCAGAGGCAUGUUUCAGUAAGUCUGAAGUAUGUAUUUAUAACAGCUAUUUCAUCGUCAAGUCAAGUUUUUUUUCAUUUCAGCACUAUGCUUUAAAAGUUACUUUGUAAAAAGGAUAUUAUGGUGCCAGAUAUGUGUGAUUUUUAACCUAAGUGUACAUACAAAUUAUACUGUAUUUUACUAGUUGGUUAUUUAGUUUUUGUAUCCUCUUCAGUACUAUGCCAUAAAAGUAUAUUAAGCUAAAUAUGGUGCCAAAUGUAUACCUAAAUUGUACCUACAUAAGAAAUAUACUGAUUUUAUUUGAUGAUUAUGAAUUCAUUUUAUUUUGUCCAUACCUACCUUCUCAAAUCCAAAAAAAAUUAAUUACUAUUCAUCAGUUUAAUUUAAUAAGAUUUUUUACUGGCCAC